GAUGAAGAACGCAGCGAAAUGCGAUAAGUAAUGUGAAUUGCAGAAUUCCGUGAAUCAUCGAAUCUUUGAACGCACAUUGCGCCCUCUGGUAUUCCGGGGGGCAUGCCUGUCCGAGCGUCAUUGCAACCCUCAAGCCCGGCUUGCGUGAUGGGCCCGUCCCGCCCUCCGGGCGCGGACGCCCCCCAAAGGCAGUGCGCGGCAGCCGCGACAACCGACGCCUGAGCGAAUGGGAAUCCUAACGCUCCAGGGUACGGCCGGCCGCCCGCGAACCAACCAUCUCAACGGUUGACCUCGGAUCAGGUAGGGAUACCCGCUGAACUUAAGCAUAUCAAUAAGCGGAGGA
rnacentral:misc_RNA from 1 species